CUAGCUUUGGGGGCCCGUGACGAUCCUAUCGCGGGAUUUGGGGGAAAGGGUGGGGUUUAGGUGAAAUUCAAAGGCAUCAUGGUUUCCACUGUCCCAGAGCAAAUCGGGGCCGUGUGUAAAGGGUCCACAUCGGUGUAGACGGCGAGGUGGAUCCGGGCCCCACAGGCGGCGCAGGCCUGGAAGCCCAUAGACCUCCUGAAGUCUCCCAAUGGGCUAAGAAGAGUCAAGGACACUGGAGGGAAGAAUUCUGCACAGCACCUGAGCAACUCAAGGCAUCAUCUUGGAAGCAGAAAGAUGGGCCUUCACCGGACACCAAACCUACCAGUGCCUUGAUCUUGGACUUCCCAGCCUCCAGAAC